GACGAGGGAUCCUAGCGUUGUUCGGAAUUAUUGGGCGUAAAGCGGGUGUAGGCGGAUCUGUAAGUCAGGUGUGAAAUCCCAGGGCUCAACCCUGGAAGUGCACUUGAUACUGCGGAUCUUGAGUGUGGUAGAGGUUACUGGAAUUCCUGGUGUAGUGGUAAAAUACGUAGAUAUCAGGAGGAAUACCGGAGGCGAAGGCGAGUAACUGGGCCAACACUGACGCUGAGACCCGAAAGCGUGGGGAUCAAACAGG
rnacentral:rRNA from 1 species